AGAGUUUGAUCAUGGCUCAGGAUGAACGCUGGCGGCGUGCUUAACACAUGCAAGUCGAACGAUGAUCUCCAGCUUGCUGGGGGGAUUAGUGGCGAACGGGUGAGUAACACGUGAGUAACCUGCCCUUUAACUCUGGGAUAAGCCUGGGAAACUGGGUCUAAUACCGGAUAUGACUCCUCAUCGCAUGGUGGGGGGUGGAAAGCUUUUUGUGGUUUUGGAUGGACUCGCGGCCUAUCAGCUUGUUGGUGAGGUAAUGGCUCACCAAGGCGACGACGGGUAGCCGGCCUGAGAGGGUGACCGGCCACACUGGGACUGAGACACGGCCCAGACUCCUACGGGAGGCAGCAGUGGGGAAUAUUGCACAAUGGGCGCAAGCCUGAUGCAGCGACGCCGCGUGAGGGAUGACGGCCUUCGGGUUGUAAACCUCUUUCAGUAGGGAAGAAGCGAAAGUGACGGUACCUGCAGAAGAAGCGCCGGCUAACUACGUGCCAGCAGCCGCGGUAAUACGUAGGGCGCAAGCGUUAUCCGGAAUUAUUGGGCGUAAAGAGCUCGUAGGCGGUUUGUCGCGUCUGCCGUGAAAGUCCGGGGCUCAACUCCGGAUCUGCGGUGGGUACGGGCAGACUAGAGUGAUGUAGGGGAGACUGGAAUUCCUGGUGUAGCGGUGAAAUGCGCAGAUAUCAGGAGGAACACCGAUGGCGAAGGCAGGUCUCUGGGCAUUAACUGACGCUGAGGAGCGAAAGCAUGGGGAGCGAACAGGAUUAGAUACCCUGGUAGUCCAUGCCGUAAACGUUGGGCACUAGGUGUGGGGGACAUUCCACGUUUUCCGCGCCGUAGCUAACGCAUUAAGUGCCCCGCCUGGGGAGUACGGCCGCAAGGCUAAAACUCAAAGGAAUUGACGG
rnacentral:rRNA from 1 species